AUUGAACGCUGGCGGCAGGCCUAACACAUGCAAGUCGAGCGGAUGAAGGGAGCUUGCUCCUGGAUUCAGCGGCGGACGGGUGAGUAAUGCCUAGGAAUCUACCUGGUAGUGGGGGAUAACGUCCGGAAACGGGCGCUAAUACCGCAUACGUCCUGAGGGAGAAAGUGGGGGAUCUUCGGACCUCACGCUAUCAGAUGAGCCUAGGUCGGAUUAGCUAGUUGGUGGGGUAAAGGCCUACCAAGGCGACGAUCCGUAACUGGUCUGAGAGGAUGAUCAGUCACACUGGAACUGAGACACGGUCCAGACUCCUACGGGAGGCAGCAGUGGGGAAUAUUGGACAAUGGGCGAAGGCCUGAUCCAGCCAUGCCGCGUGUGUGAAGAAGGUCUUCGGAUUGUAAAGCACUUUAAGUUGGGAGGAAGGGCAGUAAGUUAAUACCUUGCUGUUUUGACGUUACCAACAGAAUAAGCACCGGCUAACUUCGUG
rnacentral:rRNA from 1 species